rnacentral:lncRNA from 10 species
GCCCUCACUCUGUCCUGCCACCCUGUGAAGAAGGUGCCUGCUUCUCCUUUGCCUUCCGCCAUGAUUGUACAUUUCCUGAAGCUUCCCCAGCCAUGUGGUACUAAUGUCUCUGACGGCACUUCACUGACAGCUGAAUCAAGGCCAAUUCUAUGCCUCUGAGGAAUGCAGAGCAUACUUCAGGCUCUCCUGUUGCACAACACCCAAGUGAGCACCCAAGUGGUGGCUCUGGACCAAGAAUUGGACUGUUACAGCUACUGCCUACCAACAUAGGGUGUUCUGAGAGACAGGUUACAGCUACUGCCUAUCAACACAGGGUGUUCUGAGAAACAGCAAAGACACUUCGUUUCUGAAAAUGGCGAUCUGAGAACUUUAGAAAUGAACUUGAGAGGAAAAGAUGAACCUUAAAAAAUUUCACUAGGAAGUUGAACAUCUAGACCAGCAGUGUCCAAUAAAACUUUCUGCACUGAUACAAAUGUGUUAUAUCUGUGUUCUCCAAUAUGGCAGCUACCAAACACAUGUGGCUGUUGAGCACUUAAAAUGUGGUGAGGGUGAAUGAUAAACUGACUCUUUAAUGUUGCCUAACUUUAGUUUAAAUUUAAAUAGCCACAUGCAGCUAAUGGUUAUUGUAUUGAACAGUUCAGAUGUAAACAAAUGCUGGACUGAGCAACCAUUCAAAAAAAAUUUUAAGAUUCAUUUCUGAAUUCUUGAUCCUAAAAAAGUCCCUGUUUCCAUUGGGCCUGCUGUGAUGAAAUAAGUCUAUUUUAAGAACUUUGGGGAUAGAGAAAUCGUACUAGAUUUCCAAAAAAUUAAGGAUACUAAAGAUAUAGGUUGAUUUUUAAAGACUGUACUUGAACUUAUUCAUUUUAUAACUCAAAUUUUGUACCCUUUGAUCAAAAUCCUUCAUUUCUUUCACCCCCAGCACCUGACAACCACCUUUCUACUCUGUUUCUGUUACUAGUUAAUAAUUCUGUAUAUAAAAAUUUC